CUACGGAGGAUGCAAGCGUUAUCCGGAUUUAUUGGGUUUAAAGGGUGCGUAGGCGGUUUGCUAAGCGGGAGGUGAAAUGCCGGCGCUCAACGUCGGAAGUGCCUCCCGAACUGGUGGACUUGAAUGACUCUGCCGUGGGAGGAAUGUGUAGUGUAGCGGUGAAAUGCUUAGAGAUUACACAGAACACCGAUUGCGAAGGCAUCUCACGAAGGGUUGAUUGACGCUGAGGCACGAAAGCGUGGGGAUCAAACAGGAUUAGAUACCCUGGUAGUCCACGCAGUAAACGAUGAUGACUAACUGCCGGCCCGUUGCGGGUCGGUGGCCAAGCGAAAGCGAUAAGUCAUCCACCUGGGGAGUACGACCGCAAGGUUGAAACUCAAAUGAAUUGGCGGGG
rnacentral:rRNA from 1 species